CAGAACGGUCACUCCUGCACUGAUUUUAGCAUUCUACUGUGGCCUCAAACUCAGUUGUCUUAGGAACAUGGAGACCAGUAAUAUCUUCUCAUGGUUAAACGUCAUGGCUGGGGAGUCUCUGGAAUGGACAUGAGUGGAUAAUCAUUUUGUAAUUAUCAAGACCUUCAUGGUUCAAUGUGAGUAAUGGUCAAGUUCUUGUCUUUGUUGGGAUAACUUAUUUAGAAUAUUCAGUGUAUGA